UGCCUAUACCGAGCCGUCGGUCGGCAGCGAGAAUAACGUCGUUUAACGCUCGAAGAGAGCGACGGCGCGGAGGCCCCGACGAGUAGGGGGGUCGCGACGGUGAGCGUUGAAGGGUUGUGGGCGCGAGCCUGCCCGGAGCCGCCGUCGGUGCAGAUCUUGGUGGUAGUAGCAAAUACUCCAGAGGGAUCCUGGAGGACUGACGCGGAGAAGGGUUUCAUGUGAACAGUGGUUGGACAUGAGUCAGUCGAUCCUAAGCCGCAGGCGAAAGCCGUCCUAGUGACGGGCGUGAUGAAAGUGUGAUACACCAGAGAGAAGAGAACGAAUUUUGUAUUUUCUUUCGAAAGAGAGAAAAGAAAAAGUUUGAACUUUUUUUUUCCUGGAACAUACAAUACAAAGAUACGCCAUUCUAGUUCAAGGCGAAAGGGAAUCCGGUCCUGAUUCCGGAACCGAGCUGCGGCUACGUCCCUGAUGAUACGACCUCAACCCUCGUAAAUUCAUGGUCGCGGUAACGCGAUACAAACCGGAGAAGCUGCCGAGAACCCCGGGAAGAGUUUUCUUUUCUGCUUGAGGGACCGAGACCCUGGAAUCCCGUCGUGGGGCGAGAGGGUUACGGAUUUAGCUGUCAAAGGCUAUCCCGAAGAGCGCCGCGUUUCUGCGGCGUCCGUGGUCGUUCUCGGCUGGCCCUUGAAAAUCCGGUGGGAGGGUUACGUUGUUGGACGUUCGCGCUCGCUCGUACCGAUAUCCGCAUCAGGUCUCCAAGGUGAACAGCCUCUAGUCGAUGGAUGAAUGUGGGUAA
rnacentral:rRNA from 1 species